rnacentral:lncRNA from 9 species
AGAACCAGGAGUGGGGAGGCCAGGCGGGCCGGCGGACUCGUCCUGGAUGCUUGCACCCCGUGCCCCCUUCGCCCAGGGUAUGAUGAGCGGCGAAGUCGGGGACCUGAGCCCCCAGCAGCAGGAGGCACUGGCCCAGGUGAUCCAGCUGUAUGACUCGGGUGGUCUGCGCGGCUAUGACUACAAGGGCUGCCUGGUAUGGUUCGACAUCAUCGGGACCCUUGACCCCUAGGGCCUCCUGCUGUCAGCCUCCAAGCAGGAGCUGAUCCGGAAGCGCAGCAAGGUCUGCAAGCUGCUUUUGCAACGGUGUGAGCUGCAGAGUCAGAAGCUGGGCAGGAAGGUUGAGACGAUGCUGAUGGUGUUCGACAGGGAGGGGCUGAGCCUCAAACACCUGUGGAAGCCAGCUGUGGAGGUCUACCAGCAGUUUUUUGCCAUCCUGGAAGCAAAUUAUCCCUAGACGCUGAAGAAUUUAAUUGUUGUUCGAGGUGUGGACUGGUAGCAGAGGGCCCAUGGGCCAUACCUGGAGCAAGAAUGGUCCUUGCAGUGGCCAUGGCCAUGGUCUAGUGUCCACUCACCCACCCUCACUGCAUGUGCUCAAGGGUCAGAUGAUCUGGCUUCCAAUCAAGUCUAUUGAGAAAAUAUUUUUAACCACAUUGAGCCUCAGUUUUCCCAUUCUGUAAAAUGGGGAUGCAAGGGCACCUUCCCUCUAAGAUAGCUAUGGGAUCAAAUGAGACAGUCUGUGGGGAAAAUGCAGCACAGAGCCUGGCCCACAGAAGGCACCAAGUAAGCUUGAGCGAUCCAUCCAGGUGGGACAUGAAAUCUAAAGGAGAUGUCCCAUCCACUGGCACCCAAGAGGAUACCAAGGCAACCUGGGCAAACCUUGAGUAUAGAAAGGAAGAGGCAACACUGGGAAAUCAACAAUGCUAGCUCCCUUCAACAGGGCAGGGGAGGAGGCAACCAUCUAUUGAGAGUGUUUAAUUUGACCCCCAUUUUAUGGUUAAGGGCAUGAAGACUCAGAGAGGGUAAGCGACUAACGGAAGGUCUCACAGCAGGAAAUGGCAGAACCUCGGUCUAUCCAACUUCUGUCCAACCCAUGCCCGCAGCUGUGACUGUGUAUCCAAGUCCUCUCUGGUCCAGCUUCUCCAGGGAGUUUCAUGUGUUUGAGCCCCCAAGCUGUUCCCCGUGGCCUUCAACUUGGUCCAGCUGUUCAUGAGUGAGGAGACUCGAAGGAAGAUGGUGAUUCUGGGAGGCAACUGGAAGCAAGAGCUGCCUAAGUUCAUCAGCCCCGACCAGCUGCCCGUGGAGUUUGGGGGGCCUAUGACUGACCCUAAUGGUAACCCCAAGUGCUUGACCAAGGUGAGGACACAGUAUGAGCACACAGAAACUGUGGGCCAUGGCCCCUCCCUGCACAUGGAUAACGAGAUCCUGUUUCCUGGCUGUGUGCUAAGGUGGCAGUUCGCAUCAGAUGGAGCAGACAUCAGCUUUGGGAUUUUCCUGAAGACCAAUAUGGGGGAGUAGCAGCGGGCCAGGGAGAUGACAGAGGUGCUGGUCAGCCAGCGCUACAAUGCCCACCUGGUGCCUGAGGAUGGGAGCCUCACCUGUCUCCAGGCCGGCGUCUAUGUCCUGCGCUUCGACAACACCUACAGCCUGAUGCACACCAAGAAGGUCACCUACACUGUGGAGGUGCUGCUCUCUGACAAGGCCUCUGAGGGGAGGAUUCAGGGUCUUGGGGCAACAAGACAGUCUCCACUGCAAUGAAGACCUUGGCUGCCCCGUGCCUGUGCUCUCCAAUCCCUUAGCAGCCCCUCCCUGUCCCCUGCUCUCCCAGGCAGGGUGCUGCUAGAGGUGACCGCAGAGAGCCACCCACCUUGCAUCACCAUCUCAGCUCCCUCUGGGCCCACCUGGCUCGGUGGCCAAGGAGGAAGGGACCCCCAGUGCAUAGGCCACCCUGAGGAUUCAGAUGGGCACCUCAUCCCCGUUCACAGAGAAUGAGGAUGAAAACCCUGAAGAUGAACCCAAGUCUACUGAGAAAGGGUCCUACCUGCAGAAGCUACACUUUUGGCCCAUCCCUGGACUCACCCUGGCAUCCUGAUUUGGGGGUGUGCACGUGAGCCCCCCGGACCUGCAGGGAGCACAGCUUCAGGCCUGAAGGGCAGGGAAGCCCCAUUCUCUGCAUGUAGGGGCUCAGCAGGGCUGGGCAGGGUCAGCUGGAAGCCAUUGGGUGGAGGGACAGGCAAUGCUGAGGGUCUUGGUUCCAACCACCAGCCUUCCAGGGUUGUUCUACCACCUUUGAAGGGAAAAUCAGAAACAGAGAGUGAGACCCAGCAAGUAAAGUCAUCAGGAGGAAGAGCCAUGCUCAGCCUUACGCACAGCUGAGAGGGUGCAACUGAGUCUCCAGGGCACUCCCAGGGUCACCCCCACCCCUGCCACCUGCUGUGAUCUAGCCAACAUUCAGCCUGGGUUCUUCCCAGCUCUGAGGAGGGGCCAGGACAGAAGCAGAGCUGCAGGGAGGUGGAACAAAUAUGCUGGGAUUCAGAGUGGAGCUGCAUCCCAGGGCACUCAUCCUGGAGUCUGACUUGCUUCUUGGAGAACCAUCAGGCUCUUCCUUUACCUUUGUCUCACCAAGGGGACAUCUGAAGCUUGGCUGCCCAUCCCCCCCCACCCCCCACCCCCCCCCGCUCCAAAUGCAACUCAGCGGUUGGCCAGUAAAGGCUUCUGUUUCUCAAAGGCUGGCUCUCCUGGGGCCCAAAGCCCACUGUCAGGACCAUCACCUGCUCUGCUGGAAGGACUGCACCCAGCAGGGCAGUCCACGCCCAGGAAGGAGCCCAGGAAGCUGCCGAUCUGGCUGUGGCUCUGUGGUUGACACCAGGUGGCAAUGAAGCCAUUAACUGUGACCUAGAAGCCCAGACUGUGCUGUGCUGCCCCCUCCCCAUCCUGCCCCCUACCCUCUGGCUGGCCAGGCCAGUGGGCCCCAGUACCUCUGAAGACCUGACCCCAGGGUGGCUCAGCCCUCAGCUCUGGAUCCCCACCCCUGUACUGCUGUCCCACAGGGUGGACUGCUGUCCACCAGGUGACGUCCUUGGGAAUGAGUGGUCAGAUGACCCUAUAAAAUGAGUCCUUGCUGCAAAGCAUUAGCAUCCUGGAACCCAGGCCCCUUCCAGGGACUAGAAACCUCAGCCACCACUGUCCAGGUGCUUCUUGUCAGAAAGAAGCCCAGCUCUAGUCCCUUUCCCACUCUCAAAUUCUGUGCUUUAAUUUUUAUUCUUGUGUUUUGCCCAAGUUAAUAGGAGAUUUCUUGAUUUCCCAGGACCUGUCUUAGGCAAAAACAUGAUGAGACUUGGGAAAGUGGGGUCUUCAAGUGUACCAGGUAAAAUCCUUGGGGCCCCAGCCUUCCAUCUGUGGCAGCUCCAUCUUUCAUGGUGGAGCACAGAGCCCACGCAGGGCUCUGCUCUCAUAAAAAGCAGACUAUCUUGGAGUUCCCUGGUGGCUCAGAGGGUUAAGGUUCUGACAUUUUCACUGAUGUGGCAUGGGUUCAACUCCUGGACUGGGAAUUUCCCUAAUUCUCAGGCAUGGCCAAAAAUAUAAAUAAAUAAGUAAGCAAGCUAACUAAAUGAAACUAAAUGCCAAAAGCCAGUGCUAUGGAGGACAUGGCCACCUGGGGCUGGGAGAAAAUCUGUACUAGGUUUUUCUGGGCCCAACUGUUGUCAUGAUGGGGAAUCACAAUGCCUUACUUCCACCUUCAUGCCCCCCACCUAAAAAUAAAGGGUUCGUGGACUUUG